AUUGAACGCUGGCGGCGUGCCUAACACAUGCAAGUCGAGCGGUAACAGGUGUAGCAAUACAUGCUGACGAGCGGCGAACGGGUGAGUAAUGCUUCGGAAUCUGCCCAUGUAGUGGGGAAUAACCAGCCGAAAGGUUGGCUAAUACCGCAUACGACCUACGGGUGAAAGCAGGGGAUCGCAAGACCUUGCGCUAUUGGAUGAGCCGAAGUCGGAUAGCUUGUUGGUGAGGUAACGGCUCACCAAGGCGACGAUCCGUAGCUGGUCUGAGAGGACGACCAGCCACACUGGGACUGAGACACGGCCCAGACUCCUACGGGAGGCAGCAGUGGGGAAUAUUGGACAAUGGGGCAACCCUGAUCCAGCGACGCCGCGUGUGUGAUGAAGGCCUC
rnacentral:rRNA from 1 species